GCUCACUACAGUGGUACCUCCUCACUGGAAGGACAGAUCCUGAAGCUGAGGCUCCAAUACUUUGGCCACCUCGUGAGAAGAGAUGACUCCCUGGAAAAGACUCUGAUGUUGGGAAAGAUUGAGGGCACAAGGAGAAGGGGCUGACAGAGGACGAGAUGGUUGGACAGUGUUCUUGAGGCUACCAACAUGAGUUUGACAAAACUGCGGGAGGCAGUGGAAGACAGGAGUGCCUGGCGUGCUCUGGUCCAUGGAGUCACGAAGAGUCAGACACAACUAAAUGACUAAACAACAACAGUGGUACGUUGGUUCUCAAAUGCCUUGGUACUCAAACACCGAAAACUCAGAAGUAAGUGUUCCAGUUUUCAAUUCUUUUUCAGAAGCUGAACGUCCAAUACUGCUGUCGGCUAUUGUUUCCGGGGCGCCUGCUGUGGGAUGUGAAACACAGAGCAGUCAAGUACAACAUCCCUAGAGUGGACAUAAAAAGGGGGUGUCUGGACCAGCCAGUCAGAACUUCCUGUUUCCUCCUAGACUGGGACAGACUUCCUCUACAUGUGACCAGAGGUGGGCGUGGCCUCACCUGUGCAGGUAACAAAAGCAUAGGACUGGCCGCCAUCUCUGUCUCUCUGACUACAUUCAUCAAAGAAGCAACAUCUGCUUAGCCUAAGAUGCUCUCUUGGCUUCCAGCCAAGAGAGGACAAAGGAGCUGUCUCCUUAUUGGAUAGUUUCCAGGUAUAUUACUUUUGUAACUUAAGUCUGCCUUCUGGGAUCCAUCUGUGAAAAGAAUGAGUGAGUGAGUAAACUCUUUUUAUACUUUUAUAGAAGACUGUGUUGUAUCUAUUCCUUUUAUGAGGGACUAAAGGGGAAUUUACCAAGUAACUUAUUUUAGAGGCUUUAGCGAGCCUGAGCAAAAACAUCUGGUGUGCAAGUUUAUAAAGGGGAAUGUUACUCUGCUAAAUUGGAAAGGAUAUAAUCAAACAAUAUAUACUCUCCUGCAUCCCUGAACAUUCCCACACCUGCACCAAUCAGAAGCUGCCUUUUGGUUUUCAAACAUUUCGGAAGUAAAUCCGACUUCCGGUGCGGAUUAAGUUUGGCGCUUUUGUUUUUGCUAUUUAUUUUGCGUUUUUGUUUUUGAGGCAUUUUCAGUUAAUUUGUUUUUGUGACUGUGUGGAACCCAGUUCAGCUACCAACUGAUUGUCUGAGUGACUGCGGAAAUAGAUAAAAGACCCCCAUCCAAACAAUGACUAUUGUAGUCAUUUAUGUAGGGGAGAGAUCUCUGGGUGUGAACACGCAAAUGAGGGACAAUGGGGUCAGAUGCGAACAAAAUGUAAGACAAAUAAUAAGUUCCUUCCUGUGCAUAUCUUAGAGUAGGUAAGAGUUGUGUAUUUUGGAAGCUAGGUGCACCUUAACUUGGCAUAUGCUUAAAGCCCUUCCAGAGCAACGUUGUAAGGAACAAUCCUCUCUUUCUAUUUUGUAUGUUCCAAAUUCACACAAAUGGAAUUUCGGGACCCCGGGGGCAAAAGGAAAUAGAGCUGCCAAAAAAGCACAUCAACAAAUUGGUGCUUGCCCGAAGUGAAGGGUAUGAGGAGAAGAAAAGCUCCGAGACUGUGACAGUGAUCUCAUAGCUGAUAAAUCACUUCUCCUUGUCAGUACAAAGGUAAAGGCAUCCUGAUUGACGUUUAUAAUCCCCCAGCAAUCCUCUCCAGUUCCUGCUUCAAAACUUCCUUAAUGGCUUCAGCUGCAGCUCGGGCAAUGUUGAAUGGGAAAGCUCCAGCACUCAAUCCAUAGAACACGUUGCACUAAUAAAAAUGUUCUUAACCUGCUUUCCCCCACUUGUCAGAAUUUGACAUUUUAAUACAGAUUCUGAGAAAGAGAGAGAGAACGAACCAGACCCAAAUCAAAGGGUGCUUCCAGAGAGUCACUAUGUUUUGCUGGAGGGAUUCAUGUGCAUACCAGAAACUUAUUUUUGUGCUUUUAAAGUGGAUUAACGUCCUUUAUUGCCCUAGAGCAACAAACCCACUUUUUCUUAAAAAAAAAACAAAAACAAAACCUAGACUUUGUGGGAGUUAAGAAAGUGAUGGGAAAAUGCACUGAAAACUGUGGGAUGAAUGAAUGAGGGGAAAGAAGACAUGAAAACACCCAGCAGGGAAAUACAGAUGACUGCCCAUUAUUGUGCAGCUGCCCCAUAAUAAAAUCAGAAUGAUUUGUGCAAACAAAUUGGUAUGAAUGCUGAAUCAACAGGAUGUCUGGUGGGGCCCAUAAUAAUAAUAAUAAUAAUAAUAAUAAUAAUAAUAAUAAUAAUUUAUUUAUACCCUGCCCAUCUGGCUGGGUUUCCCCAGUCACUCUGGGUGGCUCCCAACAAAAUAUUAAAAACACGAUAAAAGAUCAAACACUAAAAAAUUCCCUAAACAGGGCUGCCUUCUUCUAAAAGUCAACAAGCAAGAUGAAUUUUAACAGGGAGAAAUGUAAAGUAUUGCACGUGGGCAAAAAAAAUGAGAGGCACAAAUACAAGAUGGGUGACACCUGGCUUGAGAGCAGUACAUGUGAAAAGGAUCUAGGAGUCUUGGUUGACCACAAACUUGACAUGAGCCAACAGUGUGACGCGGCAGCUAAAAAAGCCAAUGCAAUUCUGGGCUGCAUCAAUAGGAGUAUAGCAUCUAGAUCAAGGGAAGUAAUAGUGCCACUGUAUUCUGCUCUGGUCAGACCUCACCUGGAGUACUGUGUCCAGUUCUGGGCACCACAGUUCAAGAAGGACACUGACAAACUGGAACGUGUCCAGAGGAGGGCAACCAAAAUGGUCAAAGGCCUGGAAACGAUGCCUUAUGAGGAACGGCUAAGGGAGCUAGGCAUGUUUAGCCUGGAGAAGAGGAGGUUAAGGGGUGAUAUGAUAGCCAUGUUCAAAUAUAUAAAAGGAUGUCACAUAGAGGAGGGAGAAAGGUUGUUUUCUGCUGCUCCAGAGAAGCGGACACGGAGCAAUGGAUCCAAACUACAAGAAAGAAGAUUCCACCUAAACAUUAGGAAGAACUUCCUGACAGUAAGAGCUGUUUGACACUGGAAUUUGCUGCCAAGGAGUAUGAUGGAGCCUCCUUCUUUGGAGGUCUUUAAGCAGAGGCUUGACAACCAUAUGUCAGGAGUGCUCUGAUGGUGUUUCCUGCUUGGCAGGGGGUUGGACUCGAUGGCCCUUGUGGUCUCUUCCAACUCUAUGAUUCUAUGAUUCUGAGAUUGUUUAUUGAUUACUGCAUAUUCUUCCAUACUCCAAUAGAUAGUUUUCUAUUUCCUUGACAUGUGGUGGGAGGGUGUUCCACAGGGCGGGCGCGCUACCGAGAAGGCCCUCUGCCUGGUUCCCUGUAACCUCACUUCUUGCAGUGAGGGAACUACCAGAAGGCCAUUGGAGCUGGACUUCAGUGUCCGGGCUGAACGAUGGGGGUGGAACGUUCCUUCAGGUAUACUGGGCCGAAGCCAUUUAGGGCUUUAAAGGUCAGCACCAACACUUUGAAUUGUGCUUGGAAAUGUACAGGGAGCCAAUGUAGGUCUUUCAGGACCAGUGUUAUAUGGUCUCGGCGGCCACUCCCAAUCGCCAGUCUAGCUGCCACAUUCUGGAUCAGUUGGUAUGUCACCAUACCAAGGACAACUUAUUUAGACCACCAUUAUGUUGUGAACUCAAUAUGUACUCUGACUUGCAGAAGCAUUCCAGGGUCUUGGGCAGGAUAGAAUCGGCAAAUUUGAUAAAAGAAACCUGGAUAUGCUUGGGCUAGAAUAUGGGAGUGGGGAGGGAGCAAGAUUCACCUAAAGAACCUCAUCUACGGAAGCCCUGUGCUAGGCACUUGAGCAAGAGAGCUUCUCCCUGUUCUGUACACACGCCUUCUGGCGGUUCCCUCCCUGCAAGAAGUGAGGUUACAGGGAACCAGGAAGAGGGUCUUCUCGGUAGUGGCGCCCAUUCUGUGGAACGCCCUCCCACCAGAUGUCAAAGAGAAAAACAACUACAGUGGUACCUCGGAACUUAAUUCGUUCCGGAGGUCCAUUCUUGACCUGAAACUGUUCUUAACCUGAAGCACCAAUUUAGCUAAUGGGGCCUCCUGCUGCUGCGCGAUUUCUGUUCUCAUCCUGAAGCAAAGUUCUUAACCCGAGGUACUAUUUCUGGGUUAGCGGAAUCUGUAACCUGAAGCGGCUGUAACCCGAGGUACCACUGUACCAGACUUUUAGAAGACAUCAGAAGGCAGCCCUGUUUAGGGAAGCUUUUAAUAUUUAAUAGACUACUGUAUUUUAAUAUUCUGUUGAAAGCUGCCCAGAGUGGCUGGGGAAACCCAGCCAGAUGGGUGGGGUACAAAUAAUAAAUUGUUGUUGUUGUUGUUGUUGUUGUUGUUAUUGGGAGAAACUCCAGAGCAGCACAUGGGAAAGGGGAUUUGACAAGCUGAUAUGCUCGUACAGAUGAAACAUUUGUAACAGCACAACAUUGAUCCCACCUGAAAAUUCUUAACCUUCAAGCAGGGAUGAGUGAAUCUGUCGAUUUCAAUUUCUCCCAGUUUCUCGUUUCCCCCCAAUCUUAAGUACCGUUCUCACUUUUCUGCAGCAAUUUUGCUUUAUGGCCUAAGAGAAGCCAGUGAACUUCAUGACCGAACGGGGAUCAGAAAUUCCUGGUCGGAGCCCCACCACACUUGUAACGUAACAUAAACUCGGUUCUGCAAACUGAAUUCUUAUUGUGACACACUUGGAAUAAUUAGCCCAGAGAUAGAAAAAAGACGAAGUCCCUACCAGAGAGGAGUGGCAAAGCAAGCUGAUGGACUACGCCGAAAUGGCAAAACUGACCAGAAAGCUCAGGAACCAAGAGGACAAAAACGUUAUAAAAGAAUUAUUUAGGAGACCACUGUAAGCAGAUGGGAACAUCAGCAUGAUUUUGAUUUCACUUGUAGUGUAAUAAUUACCAUGGAUAAUAUGGUUUGAUAUAAAAAUUGGAGUAUGGAAGAAUAUGCAGUAAUCAAUAAACAAUCUGACUUUUAGAAGACAUCUGAAGGCAGCCCUGUUUAGGGAAGUUUUUAAUGUUUGGUGUUUUAUUUUUUUUA
rnacentral:lncRNA from 1 species